UACGUAGGGUGCAAGCGUUUAAUCGGAAUUACUGGGCGUAAAGCGUGCGCAGGCGGUUGUGCAAGACAGAUGUGAAAUCCCCGGGCUCAACCUGGGAAUUGCAUUCGAGACUGAAUAGCUAGGGUACGGUAGAGGGAAGUGGAAUUUCCGGUGUAGCGGUGAAAUGCGUAGAUAUCGGAAGGAACAUCAGUGGCGAAAGCGACUUCCUGGACCAGUACCGACGUUCAGGCACGAAAGCGUGGGGAGCAAACAGGAAUU
rnacentral:rRNA from 1 species